CCUACGGGAGGCUGCAGUAGGGAAUAUUGCUCAAUGGGGGAAACCCUGAAGCAGCAACGCCGCGUGGAGGAUGAAGGUGUUCGGAUUGUAAACUCCUUUUGUUAGAGAAGAGAAAGACGGUAGCUAACGAAUAAGCACCGGCUAACUCCGGGCCAGCAGCCGCGGUAAUACGGAGGGUGCAAGCGUUCCUCGGAAUCACUGGGCGUAAAGAGCGCGUAGGCGGGAUAGCAAGUCAGAUGGGAAAUCCUAUGGCUUAACCCUAGAACUGCAUUUGAAACUGUUAUUCUAGAGUAUGGGAGAGGUCGGUGCUAUUCUUGGUGUAGGGGUCCACUCCG
rnacentral:rRNA from 1 species